CCGCGUGGAGGAUGAAGGCUUUCGGGUCGUAAACUCCUGUCAUUUGAGAACAAGUGCCAACACCUAACUACUGUUGGCUUGAUAGUAUCAGAAGAGGAAGGGACGGCUAACUCUGUGCCAGCAGCCGCGGUAAUACAGAGGUCCCGAGCGUUGUUCGGAUUCAUUGGGCGUAAAGGGUGCGUAGGUGGCGCCGUAAGUGGGGUGUGAAAUUCCGGAGCUUAACUCCGAAACUGCAUUCCAUACUGCGGUGCUUGAGGACUGGAGAGGAGACUGGAAUUUACGGUGUAGCAGUGAAAUGCGUAGAGAUCGUAAGGAAGACCAGUGGCGAAGGCGGGUCUCUGGACAGUUCCUGACACUGAGGCACGAGGGCCAGGGGAGCGAACGGGAUUAGAUACCCCGGUAGUCCUGGCAGUAAACGGUGCACGUUUGGUGUGGGAGGAUUCGACCCCUUCCGCGCCGGAGCUAACGCGUUAAACGUGCCGCCUGGGGAGUACGGUCGCAAGAUUAAAACUCAAAGGAAUUGACGG
rnacentral:rRNA from 1 species